rnacentral:rRNA from 1 species
GUACGGAAUAACAGUUAGAAAUGACUGCUAAUACCGUAUAAUGACUUCGGUCCAAAGAUUUAUCGCCCAGGGAUGAGCCCGCGUAGGAUUAGCUAGUUGGUGAGGUAAAAGCUCACCAAGGCGACGAUCCUUAGCUGGUCUGAGAGGAUGAUCAGCCACACUGGGACUGAGACACGGCCCAGACUCAUACGGGAGGCAGCAGUGGGGAAUAUUGGACAAUGGGCGAAAGCCUGAUCCAAGCAAUGCCGCGUGAGUGAUGAAGGCCUUAGGGUUGUAAAGCUCUUUUACCCGGGAAGAUAAUGACUGUACCGGGAGAAUAAGCCCCGGGUAACUCCGUGCCAGCAGCCGCGGUAAUACGGGAGGGGGGGCUAGCGUUGUUCGGGA